GGGCUGCUGCCCUCGGGUAGUGGUGUCGCGGUCGCGCCGCGAGGAGAGAGCCGUCCCUUCGCUGCUCGGCGGAGCGGAAGCGCGGUAGCCCUCCCUGGGCCUCGUCUGAACUCAGCCCCGCUGUCGUAAGGGCUCUGUAAAGCCACUGGGCCGGAGCACGGAGGAAGACGCAUGGAAGGAACUGGCGUUUCGAACUGGUAACAGCGUUGUCCGCAUUAUUAGUUUGUAAUAAUGCUGUAUGCAUGAUUAAUUAGGAGUUAAGGACACUCCUUGGCUUGUAAUUCUCGCUUUACCACUGCGAGCCCUCUGGUUCCGCAGCGUCACGGAAACCAAACGUCCUUCUGUCCCCAUCCCACAACUCAAAAUGGCAGAAAGCACCGCCCGUCCUGUGGGGAAGUGAGUUUGCCGCGACCCGCGCACCCGGCUGCCACCACAGCCACCUCCCCGGCCUGCCCUGCGGACGCGAGGCAGUGCACUGUAGGACAGCUCUCCUGCUGGGGUCCCGGCCCGCCUGCCCUUCAGAAACGCUGUCUUCAGACAGCAAGGUUGGACUAAGGGUAGGGGGUACGAGAUGGAACACAGGAGGUUCCAUACAGACCAAGCAAAAACUUUACUUUGAAGGUGACGGAGCACUGGAACAGCUCCCAGAGAGGUUGUGGACUCUGCUUCUUGGAGUUGAAAUUCAAGAUCUGCUUCCCUGUGCAACCUACUGCAAGGAAUGGCUGUAGCAGAGGGUUGGACAUGAUGAUCUUCAGAGGUCCCUUCCAAGCCCUAUGAUUCUGAGGGUCUUGAUGCUGAAAAUUCCCUCGACAACCUCAGCUGAUAAGACAACUUCCCAUAGUUAACUGUUAGAAGAGCUCAACAAAAGCAACUGGAUUUCUGUUUCAAAACAGCCUUAACUUUUAUGUGGAGAAACUACGUGAAGAUAUCCUCAUAACAACAGUCACUUGUGAUUAAUGCAUUAUGAAAAGGGUAUUAGGAAUUUAAGAAUUUACUAGCUCUUGAAUCUGAACAACCUAUUUUGUUAAGCAGGAAGUCUUCCUUACUGCAGGGCUUUCACCAAUUACAUUCAUCAGGCCUUGUUCAGAAGAUGCUUGUGUUCUGUACUUCCAUACUCACAGGAAAAUGCCGUGUUGUUCCAUUUGGGGAGCAGGAUGUGACUGCUAACAGCCCCUUCCUCAGAAAGUAUCACUGUACAGCUUCUGGAGUCUUCUGAGACCACCACGUUCAUUACAUAUACAAACGUAGGAAAAAAUAAUCCACCAAACAACUGUGAAACAAAAAGGAAGCUGCUGGUUUUAUAAAAUAAGCUCAAGAAGGAAAGCCAGCUUUGCUGUUAAGCCAUUUUCAGAAAUGAACCACGGAAAACCAGUGCUAUUGCUUUCCUUCCACUCUGAGUUGCUCAGUCCCAGCCCUUGCUACAAGUCAUAAAGCUACAGUCUGAUAACUGGCUGCAAAUAAAACACUUUUCGUGUUACUUCAUGAACAACACCAAAGUCUGACUGGUUUGAGGUUCUCCCUUGCACAGAUUAUACGGUCACUAGUUGCAACGAUCAUUGCACUUUACCAUGUUGGCACACUAAGCCUUGUAAACUUGCACAGAAAUCAAAAUUAAUUUAGUUUUACUUCAGCCUAGGUAUCAACUUGUUAGUGUAUUGCAAAAUGCAUCCUUUUUUAUUUAAUAAGGUACAACACAGAGUCAGAAGUUAACGUCCAGCUAUUUUCUCUAAGCUAUUAAUUCACUCUGUUUUCUACAUUCUGUACCACUGAUGUGUAUUCCAGUCCUUUUGGGACCAUCCAGUGCUGAACUCUCCCUUCCCAGGAAGUGGAAAGGAAAAUAGGCUGUGCACUUUUCUUGAGUCCUUAGUGGCAUUUCUUAGAGCUUGUUUUACUGCUCCUCUCUACCCGUGCAGUGGGCUUGGUUCAAUUGCAGUGUGCUUGGCAGUGUGCCGAGGGUCAGGAUGCACCUGCUGACUUGCAGCUUCGUUGAGCUGAAGGUUCCGACUUGGCACCACACUCGGAUAAUGUUUCAUGUAACAAUACACUGUUGUUCUUUGAAUCUCAGUUUACACAUAGCUCUACAGGUUCACCAGCAUAUUAAAAAAAGGCACUGCUGCUGACUAUCUCGAAUGUCCCUGUGUGUUGUGAAGAGUGUCAUUUUCAUCUCGCAGAAGCACACAAAGACACUAAAGUGAAAGAUGUUAAGAGAUGUACCAACAAGCCUCAAUAAAUGCAAUAAAAACAAGUUUAUGCUUGUUCAGAAGUAUUUAACCACAAGUAUAUGGUAAUUGGAUCAUUAUGUUACUUUGUCUACCUGAAAGACCAUCAAAUGAAUUUAUAUUGAAAGAUACAGCUAGCAUGCUGGCAUGUGGAAUGAUUCAUAGUACCAACCUUCAGGAGUAAAAAAUACAUGAGCAGUGGAAGACCAGUAACAGCAAAUCAGCCUUUACUGGGUAAUGUCUCCCCCAGGUAACCUUGCACCACUUGUUCAGUGCUCUUCUUCAGAAACAUGCCUUCUGAAAAGCCUAAAACUGUCAAACAGGUAUAUUUGAAAAUCAUCUACCAAAAAUUUGGCAUUUGCAGUGUCAGUCCUGAUAUGAACCCAUAUGUCCCAGAAGCAAAAUCUUGAAGUUUCAGAAAAAAUAUCUGUUCUCCUACAAUUUUGGAACAUUUGGCCAGAUGAUUUCUGGUUCUGUUGAUGAUUCACGUACAACCCCCAUGUCAGCACUACAAGAAAGCCACACUUUAACCUCUGGUAAGGGUGUCAGAGUUCUGAACAGCUACAAAGCAGCAUUUGCACUUUCAGUGCCACGCCAAGUUGAAUUGGGCACCACCUAAGCCGAAAGCAGAAAAAACAAACAAACAAGAAAAAAACCCUAAAACUUAAAUCAAAUGAUAAAGCUACAUAGUUUAGUACAUUAAAACAAAACUAAGGACAAUAGUACUUGUAUAAGGUUCCAAAAAUAUACAGAUAAGAAAAGAAAAUCACUGUAUACAACCCUGAGGUUGUUAAAGUGAGCAGGGAGACUGAACGGUGCGAGACAUGCUAUCCCAGUGACAAGCUCAAAACAGAAGUGCAAAAGAAAUUAAAGCUUUGUCUGAAGCGAUUUACCUGUCAGGACAAAGAAGGCUGGAAUAUUGGCCUCAGUAUUACAGAGAAAUCUCCACUCCACUCCCAACACAUACACACAAAAUAGCUUAAAUUUUUCUGUAAUACAGCAUUUCAUUCAAAUGGCGUCCCCCUGAGUUUAGUUACCAGAGAGACAGUUUGUCUGAUUUUUAUGUUUGCCUAUGUAUCAAGCGAUGCAUAGGUGGCUUCUCAAUUCUCCUGCUUUGGCCAACAAUCCCUGCAAGCUGCAGGCAGUGAAAGCAGCAGGUAGCCUGCACAUAGCUGGCUCCCAAUGCUCCUGCUGCUAGCUCUGCAAGACCACCCUGCUGUAAGAAAGCAGUUGUGCUGCAUGCAGGUGUGGAGCUGUGGCUGAGGAAUGAAGGAAUUGUUCUACAGGGCUCUGUACUCAGAGAGAAGGACAACUUCAGACAAGUGCUUUUAGCAGGCUAAGCUCUACAUGCAUCUAUGCAUGGAAAUGUAGAAUAUGGCUGCCAAGACCUAGAACUAGGGCGUGUGCAUGAGAUGAUUGCAUAAUAGGCCUUUCCUUAUAAGUUUACAAAAAUAUAUAGGCAAUAGCGUAACUUAAGAAGUCUGUUUUACUUGUUACAGAGAUCCCAAAAAAGUAUGCGCUGCUUUUCAGACAUUCCAGACAAGGUCACUUGUAACAAAAAAGUCAAGUUCUCUAAAACAUGAUUUUAAAAGCGUUUCUUUUCUUCAAGUGAACAGGACAUCUGCUUUUAAGCUCAACUUUUUAGUCAGUUAAGACUGAAUUUAUUUAAGAUUUUAUGUGAACAUACGCAUAAACACAAAUAAGUUUACUUUCAACACGUUUGCACGGAGAAAAAAAAAAAAAAAAAAGGUUAACCCUUCAAAAUGUAACAGAGCAGGUCUGGUUAGUAUGUAUCUAUUGCAAAUCUUAGAGAUCCUGUGAUUUAGGCCCACCCAUCCAGAAAGCAGGGGAAAAGUCUCAAUGAAAGAAAAUUCACGUUCAAGUCUAAGUGGUGUGUUGAAGAGCCAGCAGCCUACGUGACACCAUGAAGCUAAUCACAGUAUCCAAAGGAGCAGACCUGCCUGGGCUACUCAAGCAGUGUAUCUUCCUGAAGGCGUCAGUGACUCCCCAAGUUAUUUUCUGUUUCGAAGGCGUUUAGAUUUCCUAGGACAGUCUGUGGAUUCAACCGCCUUCCUCCGUUUUCUAGGAGAUUGUUCAUUUGAACCAGAACCUGAAGAACUUCCUACUGCGCUCUCCAUCACCUCUCGCAGCUUGCGUUCGAGCUCAGCCAAUCGGGCGUUCUGUUCACCUAUGAUUUGGGUUUGCUCUAGCAGUUUCUGAUCUUGAUCUUGGAGUUGUUUCUGUUGCUCUUGCACUUUGGUGCGAAGCUCUGAGAUUUCUCGCUUUAGCACUGUCACACCUGCACCGUUUGCUUUUACUUGCUGCUGGAGUUUGGUGACUUCCUGUCUUGAAGGAUUCUGCUUGGAGAACAGCUGCAUUGUUGUUAGUGCUGCAGAAGGCCCUGGAACUUCAGAGGAAAUUCUGUUAUCCUUUCAAAGAGUAUAUUCUGCAAUCCAAUUCUCCAAUGGUGUGUGGAAAGAAGUUCAGCACGGGGAAAACACUACAGUUCUACUAACUUUUUGCUUCUGGCCAUUCUAUGAGGCAACUACCUUAGCACUUCGGUUCACAUCAAUUAUGGAAAGCCUGAGAGGUUUACAAAGGACCGGUUUGUUUAUUUACAGACUAUUAUUUUAGCUGCCUUUUCAGUGUUACCCACAAGCAUUUUGAUUGUUAACAUAUACCUUGUUGCUUUGGGAAUGCAAAGAAAGCACAAACUUGUGUGUUCUAGCUCUCUAUGUACUACAGCAGCUUAGGCCAAUUCAUUUGCUGAUCCUUACUAAAUAUAAAAGGCGUCUUGAGUUGUCAUCUCAUGUGCCAAAUUUCAACCAAGUGCAACGAUAAAGUCUCAUUCAUUGGUGGCACAAAAGCGUUUGUUUAAUGAAUACACACUAUGCAUAAUUGUAACAUACAUUCAAGUGACCGUUCUUUUGCCAAUACAAAGCCUCCUUAAAUUACAAAGCGAAUGAAUUUCACGGCUGGCAUUCUCAAGAAACAAGUAUCGUUAAUUCCUAUGUGAUGAAGCCCACUUAUUGAAGGGAGGGAGCUUUAAAAAGAUAGUGCUCUGAGUUUUAAUAAAUAAAAUAAUUAAAAAAAAAAAAAAAAACCCACUUA